GUUAGGAACUCUUAACUUUUCCUGGCAGUCAAGGUGUAGGCAGCCGACUUGGACUCAAGUCAUCUUGAGACUCCAGUGUGGAUGGCGAUGAUGUGAAAAGACGCCAGGUAGACUAGAAGCUGGUCAGGUAGGUGCUGCUUCCAGAGGCUGCAGUGACGUCAGAAUUUCAGGUGUAUUUCACACUCAGGUAAAGUGACAAGCAAUGCUUGGGUCCCAGCCUCGUGGCAGCAGUCAGAAGCUUGUCAUCAGACCUGAAGAUCCUAAAGAAUCUUUCGAAUACCUGUAACCUUCAAUAACCCAUUUUCCCCUCCACUAUAACGAGGAGGAGCCUAUGGAUGGAUUUUAAAGAUAAAUGUGACUAACGUGAGGGAUUUUAAAUGUGUGUCACUUAUUUGUGUAACCUUAAGUGAGUAAUUGAUUAUUUAAAGUCCCAUUUUCUCAUCUACGAAAAUAGAAGCAGUAACUCCAGACAAGAAGUUCCACGAUGACCCACAGUGGUCAAAAUAACUGAUCUGGAAAGAGAGAUCGGCCAUCGGAUGCAGCACAUGGAGCUCCCCAUGGAUCCCAAGGAAGGCAGUAGAGCACCGGCUCAUCUCUAAAGGCAGAUUGGCAUGUCAGCCAUGUCUCGUGAAUGGUUCCAGCCACGGCUCAACAUCAAGUCAUCAUGGGAAGACCCCUGUCACUUUCAGGCAACUGCUUUCAACUGAAGGGAAUUCCUAAAGAGGAACACAGCUAUCAGUCAAAUGAACUCAAAAUGAAUCUUAGACCUAAUUUAAAACCCAAAACUAUGAAACUCUUAGACAAAAUCUCAGGAACUGCGUCCUAGGGCAAAGCUUUCUUAGAUGUGAAGCCAAAAGCAUGAGCCGUGAAAGUAGCUAUUAUUAAAUUAGAUUUCACCAAACUGAAAACUUCUGCUUUCCUCAAAACACAGUUAGUUGAACAAGAAGAACAAACCAAGACAGAAGAAAAUGCUGUCAGAAUGCCAAGAUACAAAAAAAAUUACUUUAAUCCCAAAUAUAUUAUUAAAAGAACUCUCAGUACCAAACAAUAAGAAAUAAUACAACACACAAGUGAACAAAAGAUGUAAGUAUCAGAAAAAGGUCACAGACAAUUGUGUAAAAUGCUUGGCAUUACUUGUUAUGUAAAAGAAAUGCAGAUUAAAAGCCACGAUGAGGCAUAAUUAUAAUAUCAGAAAAAAAUAAAUCAAAUGUAAAGGGCUAUCUUUCCCAGGUUGGGAAAUAAUGUAUAGGAACUGAAAUUUCUCAUGCCUCUAGUAAAGGUGCAAAAAUACCAACAAGGGUUUUGUAAAAAAAAUUAGCAAUUAAACAGAAUAAGUCAGAACUACAUCACAUUACUCAACCAUUCCACCCCAAGGUGUUUACACAAGAGGGGAAAAAUCAUUCCCAUACAACGGCUGGAACACUUACCAUAUGAUUCAACCAGUCCAGUCCUCGGAGUUUACCACCCCCCCCAAAUGAACCCAUAUGUGCAUGCAAAGACCCAACCACGAACACCCCCAGGUUCGUUUGUAAGAACCCAAACCUGGAAAUAACUGAACGUCAGUCAACAGACAAAAAGAUAAACACAGAUGUGCAUCCCAUACAAAGGAAUCUGAUUCCACACUGAGAAUGAACGGCUGACAUGCUGAAAUGUAAGUGGACUUUUUCUUCUGAGUCAAAGAGGCUGAUGGUGGAAAAGGUACCAACUUCCUUGUUCCCUGUAUUUGAAGCUCAGGGAAAGGGUGGGGGGCUGUGUUUGUGGGGGAUAUUCCACUGGGCAUGAAGUUUUAGGACUGAUGGAUAGCUCUAUUAUACUAAGGGAGAGGAAGGCUUGCUAUGGCUAAUUGUUCAUCAGAGCUUGCGUACUUGACUCAUGACUCUGGAAGAGAAGCUGGGAGGAAGGAAGGAGUCAAGCAGUGCAAAUGUUCUGUGUAAUUGCUUUUUCCUUGUCAAAGUGGUGAGCUUCUAAAUCUAACCUAUUUUCUAGAACCCCAGUAAAGCUUUCUAUUCAAAUAUACAUGGAAAUGCAGGUCUGUGUUGCUCUCGUUUGAAGAAGAAAAGGGCCUUGAAGUCCCUUGAAAUUCUCCUUUAAAGUGCAGUGACCUAUCGACAUCUUGAUUCGUUAAUGAUUUGAACUUCUGCUCAUCAAAAGGGAGGGGUCUUCUAAAAGCCCCAUCUUAGAACGUGAUACAGUGGAGAACGUGGAAAUCUGGCUGAGGCUGCUGGUCCUCACACCUGCUGCUACAGGAAGAGAGGAGUCAAGGAUAUCACAUGACUUGAAGCAUCGCUUUCCUUCGCCACUUCAUAAAAUGUGCCUUUAUUUAGCUAACUUCUGGCCAUCUUGUAAACCCAACCAUAGAAAUUAACAACUCCAGCGGACUUUAGUAUCUUUGACACUAAACUAAUGGUUCUUUAAUGAAGCUGUCACACGGAAGAGGGUGACAUCGCAGCAGGGAAGUGAAUAGCUUUGAGAUAAAUUUAGGGUUCCUAACCUAUAGCCAUAUUCUCGCUUUUGCGUGUGUCUCCCCUUGUAACCAGGGGCAUCAGUAUUCCCCAUUGCCAGGAUUCUCAAGGCUGACUUGGGGAGAGCAGUGCCGAUCGAAUUUUUCAGCACAAACCUCUGUACAAUAGAGUUUUUAUCUCCUGAACAGCAGCUUUAAAUGAGAUAAAACACACUGGUGUUUUCUGCUAGAGGUAAAGCAAAGCAAAGACAAUAGUUCAAGUAAUAUCUUGUUUCUCCAACUGGCUCACAGGAAUAGUAUGAGAAAACUGGGGGCCUCUGGCUCCCUUGAAGUGUGUCUAGCUGUCAUCAGAUUGUUCUGUAAUGUCCCUACCGAAUGUGAGCACCAUUUACUCUAUCAUUCAGAGCUGGAAGCUUCUACAUCUUCCCUCAGCCACAGCUUCUUAAUGAUUAAGAUCAAAGAGAAGAAAGUCGUCAACGUAAUGGUCAUGACUUCUGGACCCCUUGUAUGCUGCUGUAAGAACUCGAGGGGACACUUUCUGCUUCAGUCCUGUACUUUAGCCCGUAACUUUUACUUCAAAUCAUACUGACAGAGAGCUGUUCAGUUGUCUGAAAUUUGGUUACAGAUUCAUGAAGACUAAUAAAGCCAACUGCUUUAAGAACUCACAGCUUACCAUGUGUGACAGACAGGUAGACUGUGUGCCAGUGUGCAUGGUCACAUGGCCAAGAGGCCCUCACACAACUCAAACAGAUUUCAUCCUUCAUAUCCCCCAUUUUCUUUGCCCAAACUAAAACUAAUGAUUCAAGAGACAUCUGAAUGCCGCCUGGGAUUUGGUGCCUCAUGGGACAUAAUGCUCUGUGGUCUUCUGCCAUAAAAUUUCUGUGACUUAACAGGACUGUGUGGAAGAGGGGACAGCAUGAGUAUACGCCAUGACCUCUGAUGUCUCUGAGCCUGACUUCCUCCAGCUAACUGAAAUUCUCUAGAGAUGAAAAAAAAAAAAACAGGAAGAAAAACAGAGCUACUCCAAGCCUCAGACAUCCAAAUCAUUCAACUGUAAAUUGAAAAGCGUUGGAUUACUAACUCUGGGAAGCUAAUUGGGAGCCCCAGGCAGAAUCCUAAUAUGGUCAUUGUCCUUGUUGGAAGAUGCCGAUGGAUAGACACACUUAGAAGAAAGGUCAGUGUCAGAGACCAUGAAGUGUUCCAUUUUUAAGACUUAGAGGUUGCCAUCAAAUAGAAAGGUAAUGGGAGAGUCAUUUUUAAACAAUGUACUCAUAAAUUGCUUCAUUAAAUAAAAUAAAAAUUCAUUACUGGUUUUUUUCUACCUAACCACCACCCAAA